ensembl:lncRNA
CUCAACCAGCCGAUGAAUUGGCUACCAAAUAAAAAAUAGGGUGUGCGUGGAGGGUGGAAAGCUCCUCCCUUACGCUUUUGUCUUUUUAGAGAGUUGCCAAGGAAAGAACUGGGACUUAGAGACGUUUUUUUGGCAGGAUGGGAGGAAGGCCAAGGACCGUCAGGAGAACUCUGUGCUUUGUGUAGGAAGAUACUGAGUGGUCGAAAGCUCCUCCUGGCCACAGGAUGGCUCCUGGAGGCUCAGGGCAGGAGGAACGCCAGGUGCUGCCUGGACACAGGAGUUUUGCUGCCUCUAAUGGGUCUGUCACAGGCUGCUCCAGCCGUAUGGUGGGUCUGGUGAUGACAGCAAGCGUAUAACUUCAUUUGCAGGAACAAGAUGCCGGCGUGAGAUUGCUGAAGAGGAAUAACACGCACUGGAGAUUGACAAGUGCUUGGCAAGCCCGUGUUCCUGGGGCUCAUCAGACAUUCGCGGCUCCUCUGCGAUGCUGGUGAAGAGCAUACUCAAGUGGCUGUAUCAUAGCCUGGGUGACAUCUGGUGACAUGCCGUUAGGCCUGUUGUGUUUCUGUGGGAUGAAUUCAUUUGCACAAUAUUUGAAAGGAAUCCAUUUAUGCGGAGUGGAAAUAUUCUGGCAUAUGCAAGCGACUUACAAGGCAGUAAUAUUUUCGGUCCAUCUUGUAUUUGGUGACAAAAGCGUAAUUAGCUACACUUAGCCACAUGCUAUCUUAUGGAGCAGUGUUCCAGAUUCCUGUGCUUUCCGAUGGCUGCGCUCCUCCUGCUGCUUGUAGCUUCUGACCGUCGAGGGUCAGGAGGGACCACAGGUACCUUUGGUAAUGUCUGUUGGUCAUAGCUGGGGCUCCUGCACAAAUGUGUCUGCUGGCAAAGGCUUCUUGUUCUCUCCCUGUAGCAGCUGGAGGGUUUACCUUGCACUUAACAGAGGCUUGGACACGAAGUGGUUUUUGAUCCUCUGAUAUGCUCUUGCUUUGGUGGAAUAUAUUAUUGUUUCUCUACCAAGUUAUCUGGUCAUUUGUCUGCUAUGGUGUUACUGAAUGUAAGCAUUGGGAAUUGGGUGGCUUAGAUCUUUCUGGGUUUUUUUUCUGUUUUUUUUUUUUCCUUGACCUCUCACAAAAUGACUGUGGGUCUGAUUAAGCACAGCACUGAGCUGAAUUCAGGCCUGGAACAGGGUCUGAUCACUUUUCAGAGUUCAGUUUUAGUUUGUUUUUCAGCUUUCUGUGAUGGAGGUGAGUAGAAAGUAGCAUUUCAGUGUAUAGAAAAUGUUUCUG